rnacentral:rRNA from 1 species
AUGUCGUCGUUCGCCGGCGUAUCCGUCCUGGCCGACGGCGGGCUGUGCCCGGCCACCGAGUCGUUCGUCGACGCCGGCACGGACUGCGGGUACCACCUGCUGGUGGUCCAGGACUACCGGCGCACCAAGCAGGAGGCGCCCACCGGCGACAGCAUCACCUCCCGCCCUUUCACCGUCGGCGGCCACGACUGGUACCUCCACUACUACCCCAACGGCGAGAACCAGAGCUGCGCCGACUACGUUUCCCUCACCGUCUCCCGUCUCCACGACAACGAGGGGGCCGACGAGGUCGUGGAUGCCAAGUGCGGGUUCAGUUUCGUCGACCAGGUCGAGAAGCAGAAUCCGGUGUACAUCCGUGAAACCGAAACGUGCAGCUUCCCCUUCCCCCGUUCUUCGUGGAGCUGCGACAAGUUCGUCAGGAGAGACGCCCUCGAACGAUCGGCGAACCUAAGGGGUGACUGCUUCACCAUCCGGUGCGACAUCAUGGUUGUCCGCGACACCAAGGGCGGCGACAGCGAGGAGGGCAGUACUGCUACUACAUCCAGUGUCAUACAGAUCAAAGACAUGGAAGCAAGCAUAUUCAGAGCCCUUCUUAGCUUUGUCUACACAGACUCAUUCCCUGCGAUGCACGAGGACAGCAUGGAGGAGGAUGAAACGUCACACCUUGUGGAACAUGGACAAGGAGAGGAAACUGCAGAAGACAAAAUGCCAGAAGCUGCGGAACAAGGACAAGGAGAGGAGGCAGUAGAGGAUGAAACGCGCGUGCAAUGGCUGCAGGACUUGUUUGUAGCGGCAGACAGAUAUGAUCUCCAACGGCUCAAGUUCAUCUGUGAAAAACAGCUAUCUGACCUCAUAGGUGUCAGCUCGGUGGCGUCCACCCUUGCCCUAGCUGAGCGGCACCACUGCCGCGGAUUGAACGAGGCGUGCAUUGAGUUUAUCCAAGCCCAGUCUCCCUCAUGUUUGCAAACAAUAAUGGCGACUGAUGGCUGGGAGCAUAUAAUCGCGACCUAUCCCUCUAUUUUGAACGAGCUCAUUGCCAAGGUGAUUGCUUUGAACCAGCAGACUCUAUCACUCUUUAGUUAG